CCGAUGGUGACGUGGCCUCUGUAUGCAGAACAGUUCUUCAAUGAAAGGUUGCUGGUGGAUGUGCUGAAAAUCGCAGUGGCGGUUGGAGCAAAAGAGUGUAAAGAUUGGGCUGAUUUUGGGAAUGAGAUUGUUGGGAGGGAGAAGAUAACAAAGGCGAUUGGUUUAUUGAUGGGUGGAGGAGAAGAGUGUGAAGAAGUGAGAAGGAGAGUGAAAGCGCUUAGCGAGGAGGCGAAGAAAGCAAUCCAGAUUGGUGGCUCUUCUUACAACAAUUUGAAAGAUGUUAUUCAAGAGAUGAAGUCAUUAAAACUUGAAAAGCUGAACUCAAAAGUUGAGGAGCCUGUCGCUUAGGGAGAUGAAGUCAUUAAACUUCAGUAUUUGGUUUGGUUGUUACUGGCUACUAUGUGGUUAAUAUCUCCUAUGUCUGUAAGCAUGAAGAACUUGUUCUUGUCAUCCUAUGUUUAAUUCUUUUUAUUGUGUUAAUUCCAUAAACACAUUUUUUUUCAGUUUUUAUUAAAAUUGAGCUCUUAAAACAUUUUUUAAGUGAGCACGAUAUUGAUUUUAAUAUUUUAAGAAAGUUGGCCAUGGAAAGCCCAACUUCCUUUUAUUGCUUUUUAAUAUUUUAUUUUAGAAAACAACCAUUGAAUGAUUAUUGCAAAAAAAUUUGUACACUGCACACAUAAUAACACUAUUCAACAACCCUUUAUAAUAAUAUUAUAAUAUUUAAAAUUACAAAUGAAAAUGGUUAAAAUAUUUUUUUUUAUGUUAAGAUUAUGUGUUUUAUGUACGUAGUGUCAAGUAUCAGAGAUGGUGUUAUAAAACUUUAUUCCUUUUGUAAAUAACCUUUAGAUUUAGGAAAACGUUUUUUUAACACCUCUCUGUCAAGUUACACACUCUUAACGUUUGAAACGUGGAAAUGGUGGGUGAUGUGAUAAUGAUAUUGUUGUAAAUGUUAUGAUGGUUAUAUGGCUUUGGGAGAUAGAAAGGGAAGAACGUAGGGUUUGAAAACGGUGUGAGAAGUUGAAUUUUCUCAACACGGAGGAAGAAGGCGGUGUUGAAAUUGAGAGGUUGGUGGUGACAUUGAGGUCGGUGGUGACGUCCAGCGCCUCGCCGAGAUUGUUGUUGUUCAGGAACAACUCCAACCCUAAACAGUAAGGAUCGCAUGCGGUCGUUGUCGUGGACGAUGGCGCGGAAUUGGUCGGCGUUGAAACAAAUCCACACGACUCUCAAAAUGUUGUUAGAAAUGUCGGUGUAAGGCCCUUCGCCAUGAUGACUGCUUAUCCAACCACAGGUUCCUCCACAACGCAAAAUUGGUUACCCGUGUGUCUGUAAGUGGUUACUUAUGUAACGUUUAUGGCCACCCACUCUUCAUGAAAAAAAAAGUCAAUUCUUUUUAAUAAGAACCAUAUAUUACAUCGGUUAGAUGACUUAACCGGUGUAAUAACCCUACCAGAACUUGUUACUCAACCAUAAGUUCCUCCACAACACUCAACCAUAAGUUCCUCCACAACACAAAACUGGUUACCUGUGUGUCUGUAAGUGGUUACUUAUGUGACGUUUAUCGCCACCCACUCUUCAUGAAAAAAAAAUCAUUCUUUUAAUAAGAACCUUAUAUUACAUCGGUUAGAUGGCUUAACCGCUUUAAUAACCCUACCAGAAAUUGUUACCCAGCUACAGGUUCCUGCACAAUGCAAAACUGGUUAUUCGUGUGUGUGUAAGUGGUUACUUAUGUGACGUUUAUGAUCACCCACUCUUUAAUGAAGAAUGAUAUGUUGGAUUUCAACGUGAAUAAGUUUUUUGGUAUUAAUACUCGUAGUGGUAAAGUUCUUCGUCAUCCACUUAUUAAAUGAGAGUUUCCUUCACCAGACUGGUUAAAAUUAACACUAACGAGACUGUUAGGGGUAUCCUGGUCUUGCUACUUGUGGAGGUAUUUUUCGUGAGAGUAUGAGGGAGGUUAUUGGUGUUUUUUUUCUUCUGUGUUUAUUGAAGUUCAGACUGCUAUGGUUGCUGAGUUUUAUAGAGUUAUGCAUGUUAUGGAGGAAGUUCAAAAGAUGGGGCUUAUUAAUGUCUGGCUUGAAUGAGAUUUUGUCUUUCUGCCUUGGUUAGUAUUGCGUUUACUGCUAGGACAAAUGUUCCGUGGAUGCUUCGUAAUUGAUGAAAUACGUCUCUUAAUUACUGUAGGAAAAUCAGGUUUAGGGUUACUCAUAUUUUUCAUGAAGGAAAUGUGUGUGCUGAUAAGUUGACUAAUUUAGGAUUUAUUAUAGAGAAUCAUUUCAUUGGUAUAAUAGGCUUCCAUAUAGUAUGUUCGUUCUUAGAAUUCUUUAUGAAUAGGUAUAGUUUACUUAUGUAUCGUUUUUGUUAACAUAUAGAUUUUGGUAUAGUCCCCCAUAUUUUUUUAUUUUUUUAAUAAUAUUUUUUCAUGUGAUGGCACAUGAUUGUUAUUAUUUGAGGUGUCAACCUAGUUGAAAUGUCAAGCUGCAUAGUGAUGCCUAACAUAAAAACUUUUAUAAAAAAAAAUGUUCGUGAUACAAUUAUAAAUAAAAGGGAUAACAUUUAAACAAUAUUUAUAAAAUGAUAAAUAAAUACAUUUAUACAUGAUUAGAAAAUAUAAGAAUAGAAAAAAUUGUCAUUUAUGAGAAAUUGUGUGGUAUGGUUGUCUUUUUUGUUGUCUUUGUGGUAUUUCUUGUUUUUGUUGUUGUCUAGAUAGAAUGAUAAGAUUUUUUAUCACACUAACUUAUUUUAAACCCAAUUUAUUGAAAAUAUUUCAUAUAUCAAGAUUUAAGCGAGAAAAAUUCAUUUUAAUUCUUGAACUUAUAUAUGAUUUUCUUAAAUAAAACAAAAUUAAUUUUUUAUAUAAUUUAUAAAAUAAAAAUUUCCAAAACAUUAUUAUUCACUUCAUAUAAUUUUUAAAUUAUUAUUAUAUACAUAUUUUUAUUUUAAAAAAUAUUAAUUAUUAUUAGUAAAAGAAAAAAAAUCAUCUGACAUAUCAAGUUAAAAUUUCAAUUUAAAUAAAACAUAUUGAAAUUGUCAAACCAACAAACAAUUUUUUAUAUUUGUUUUAAUAUUUUAUUUAACUUGUCUAGUGAGAAAUUCGUCGAAAGCUUCAAUGAAGAAUGAUAUGUUGAAUAUAAACAUGAUUAAGUUCUUUUGUAUUAAUACUCGUAGUGGUAAAAAAUUUCUUCGUCAUCCUGUUAGAUGGGAGUUUCCUUCACUAGGCUGGAUUAAAAUUAACACUGAUGGGACUGCUAAGAGGUAUCCUAGUCUUGCUACUUGUGUAGGUAUUUUCCGUGGGAGUAUGGGGGAGUUUAUUGGUGUUUUUUUUUUGUUUCUUGAAGUUCAGAAUGUUAUAGUUGUUGAGUUUUAUGGUAUUAAGUUUUUGGUAUUAAUACUCGUAGGUGGGGAAGUUUUUCGUCAUCUUCCUGUUAGAUGGGAGUUUCCUUCAUCAGGUUGGGUUAAAAUUAACAAUGAUGGGGCUGCUAGGGGUAUCUUGGUAUUGCUACUUGUAGAGGUAUUUUUCGUAGGAGUAUGGGGGAGUUUAUUCGUGUUUUUUCUGUGUUUCUUGAAGUUCAGACUAUUAUGGUUGCUGAGUUUUAUGGAGUUAUACAUUGUAAGGAGGAAGCUCAAAAGAUGAGACUUAUUAAUGUAUCGCUUGAAUGUGAUUCUGCCUUAGUUUGUGUUGCAUUUACGGCUAGGACUAAUGUUCCGUGAAUGUUUCGUAAUCGAUUUAAUAUUUGUCUUAAUUAUUUCGUAAUAAAUUGUUCAUUCUAUAAUAUAACUCAAAAUUAAAAUUAUGUAUUUUGAAUUAUAUAGUUUGAAAUAUAUAUUUUAUAAAUUUUUAAUUUUUAAUUUAUUUUUGGUAAGUUAUGUAAUAAAAAAAUAUUUUUUUAAUAAAACAUUUAUUUUUUUAAUAAUAAAAAUAUUUCCAUAAAUUAAGCAUAUAACAUGAUUGUAAAAAAAAAAUCAUAAAUAUCCUAAUGUUUUAAAUUUCACAAAUAAUAUACUUUUAAUUUAAAAACAUAAACUUAAUUACAAAACAAAAUUACUUAAGUCUUCUGUUCCGGUCGUCUCUUGCGUAUAACACGUGAAAAUCAAGUGUAAACAACUCCCUCAUUUAUGACGUAACUGAUUAAUUGUAGUGCACUAUGAUGUAACUGUUUAAUUAGAGUCAAGCCUCGUAACCUCAAUUUGGGAGGAGGGAACCCACAUUUACUUAACUUGCGCCCAUGGAAUACUAACUUCAUACUCCUUCAAUCCUAAAAAGACAUAUCAGUGUUUCUAACUAUAAAUGAUCAAACAUAAUAAUAUUAACCAAAGUUUUAUAGUCUUACCUCACCCUUUCACAAUCUUAAUGCAACAUGAUCACCGUAACUCAAUAGUACGUAGGUAUCAAAAGUUAUGUUAAUGAAUUCUUAAUGCUCAUCAUGUCCUCAUAUAGCUUUGUGUAACACAUCACAACCAAUUUCAUUGACAACUUGUUAUUUAUCUCUUUUGUAAAUCGAUGUCAUUAGUCUCUGUCUAACAUCAUCUUAGAUAAAUCACCCUAUAGUCCUAGCCAUAACUCUCCUAAAUCAUUCCAUAUUAAUAAACUUGUUUAUUUUAAAUAUAUUAUGAAAUAUUUUUUCAAAUCAAAAAAUACAUUCUGAAAUACACAUUUUAAAAUCUAUUUAUGGAUUCAUAAAUGUGUUUUUGAUUAUGGCAAAUAAAAUUUAAACCAUUAAAACUAUCUAUUUUUCCUAUUUUUCUUACUUAUUUUUUAAACUUUCAUUCCUCGUUUGAGCUUGGAUCAAUUACAAGUUAAAGAAAUUGUUUACUAAACUUCUCUAAUUAAGACUAUAGUUAUUGUUACAUAAUAAGUAUCAUAUUUAAUAUUUUUUUAAUACUAUAUUUUAGUGUGAAUAAUUAUUUGAAAACUUUUUUAAAAAUCAUAAUAUAACGCAAGAUUUGCACUCACUUAUAUAUUACGAAAUGUCUUAAUUUUUUUGUAGAUGUGAAAAUUUCUAUCACACUUUUUUGAGAGUGACAAUUCAUACAUAGAACUAUAUAUUUAUGGGUGAAUUUUAAACCUAAUUAAACCUUAUAAAACCGAUUUUGUACCCAUUUAUAUAUUAUAAAAUAUUAUAGUCGAUGUAAGAUUUAGAACCCAUAAAAUUUUGGAUAAUCUCGUAACAAUCGUUAUUGAAAACAACCCUCUUGACUUACAUGAUUUAUAUAUUUGUUCUUUUUCAAUAGAAAGUGAAGCAUUUAGGUUUCUUAUGGUUUUGUAAUUUCUACUUCCUUGACAAACUUGUUUUUGAUCAUAUGGUAUCUGACGUUAUCACACUCCACAUUUUCCAAGUAUUUCCUAACUUUUCAAAUUCCAUUGAUCGACAACUUUGUCCUUGAAAGUCCACACCCCUUGUCAUGCGAAGGUCUUACGCCAUGCCAUAUCAAGAAAAUUUUCACGUAUUUUUGUUCUGAAUGCAAUAACAUCAUCCAUUACGUUAACAUACAAAUUAGAUUCCAUGCUUAACAUAAUUCAUUUUAUAUAUAAAUAUUCAUUAGAAAUUGAAUUUUAAACAAACAAAUAUUUAAGUUUCAUAUAAGAAAUAUUCGAUAAAAAGUAAGAUAAAAUUAUUACAAGUAGACCACAACUACACAUUUUAUUAGUGUGUACUGUAGCGGUAUGGCCGAUCAACACCAUGACGUGUCUCGGUCUCCCUAUUCGAGAUGACCAAGAUAUGCUGGCACGACUCUGUCAACCUGGCUAAUUGAGCGAUACAUGGUCAGACCGACCGACGCUCAAAUCAAGUUUAGUGAAGCUAAAUCAUCAUUAAGGAUUAGGUAAUGCAAUCUUAAGAGUAACCCACUUCACUAAUCAAAUCCAAUGAGUUAAGUCCACUAAAAUAAUAUAAAUAGCACACAUCAUAAGGAGAAAGAUAUGUCAUUUAUUAUUGUGCACCUAACCGAAUACUGACCACCCGAUUUAUUAACUUGAGCGUCGGAGUGUCUUCCGCAAAUACCCCAAUCCGAUACUAGUCCGAGAUCAAAGCCGAAAGAGAAACACGAAGAUAAGAAAGACUCCAGUCCAACACCUAACAACCUGUGAAACCGAAAGAGUAAAACAAAUACUUCAAUAAUUCUUUAUGUUUCCUCCAUAUCUUUUAGUAUGUACAUAACUUUGACAUAGAAAAUGGUGGUGAUCGACCAAGAGAAAACUAUUAGAGGCAAACACGUCAUAACUCUUUACAUAUGACCGGCCAGGGCCUGUCUCUUAUUGUAAAAUAGUAAUAAAAAUCUAUAAAAAGCAUAUUUUAUUCAUUUUUCUGAGAAUACAUACUGUAACAUUAUAAUAUAUUUACUGAUUGAAACUUUUAGAAAUAAUAUUUUUACAUAGGCCUUGCUUUUAAUUUAAUAAUUUAAAAAUGAGACUAAGUCCAAAUUAAUAUUUUAAUAAAUUUGAAUAUAGAGUAUUCAUAACGUGUUAUAGAUGAAAACAAAGAAAGUGUUGGUAAAUAAUUCACAAGUGUUACACAUGCAAGGAUAAUAAAUAAUGAAUAUGCCUGGUAGCUGUCACUUCACGAUGCCACCACGGUUACUAAAAUUACUAAAGUUGGCGCGUGUUGCUUCUUGCAUCGGAAACUAUUUCAAUAUUUUUUUGUCUUGUACAUAUAUAUAUAUAUAUAUAUAUAUAUAUAUAAUCGUAAGGAACAAGAGAAUAAGAUUCAUUCUUCAUCCUUCAUCAUCAAAUCAUGGAGUUUUCCGGUGUUGAAGGUGAGUCUGAAAAGCUAAAGGCAAUUUUUCUGCCUUUCAUAACGCCGAGUCAUCUUGUUCCCGUUGUAGACAUAGCUCGGAUCUUCGCCAUGCACGGCGUGGAUGUCACCAUAAUCACCACACCAGAAAACGCUGCCGUUUUUCAGAGCUCCGUCGACCGUGACGCCAGCCGCGGCAGCUCCAUUCGAACCCACCACGUCAAGCUACCGCACGUGCCGGGUUUGCCAGAAGGCGUGGAAACCAUCAAUUUUUCCACUUCAAGAGACACAGCAAGCAUACUCUUCGAGACACUCACCAAGACUCUCGAAACUCAAUUCCCACAACUCUUCCACCAAUUCAAACCCGAUUUCAUAGUCUCCGACAUGUUCUACAGUUGGAGUGUCGAUGCUGCGGCUGAGUUCGGAAUUCCGAGGCUCAUAUACGUUGGUGGAACCUACUUCGCUCACUGUGCCAUGGACUCUCUCGAACGGUUCGAGCCUCACAAAAAGGUGGACUCGGAAGAUGAGAGCUUUCUGAUUCCUGGGUUGCCCUACAACUUGCAGAUGACACGUUCGCAGAUACCCGAACGGUUUAAGACACCCAACAGUUUCUCCGAGAUAAUGAAUAGGGUUAAGGAAUCAGAGAAAAGGAGCUACGGAUCUCUGCUCAAAAGCUUUUAUGCGUUUGAAGGACCUUACGAGGAACUCUACAGGGAAAUCAUGGGGACCAAGAGUUGGAACGUGGGACCCAUUUCUUCCUGGGUGAACCGAGAUGCUUCGGAUAAGAGUUCAAGGGGGCAUGGCAAAGAGGUGGAAGAAGGUUGGCUUUCAUGGCUUGAUUCAAAGCAGAAGGGUUCUGUUGUGUACGUGUGUUUUGGGAGCAUGAAGAACAACUUCUCUGGCACGCAGAUUGCAGAAAUAGCUCACGGGCUUGAAGAUUGCGGCGAUGAUUUCAUCUGGGUGGUGGGGAAAGUUGACGAGGGUCAAAGUAGGGCUCUAGUGGAGGAGUUCGAGAAGAGGGUGGAAGCGAGCAAGAAGGGUUAUCUGAUAUGGGGGUGGGGUCCACAGCUUCUCAUUCUGGAGCACCCUGCUGUCGGAGGCGUGGUGACUCAUUGUGGGAUGAACACGGUUAUGGAGACGGUGGAUGCGGGGUUGCCGAUGGUGACGUGGCCUCUGUAUGCAGAACAGUUCUUCAAUGAAAGGUUGCUGGUGGAUGUGCUGAAAAUCGCAGUGGAAGUUGGCGCAAAAGAGUGGAAAACUUGGGGUGAUUUUGGGAAUGAGAUUGUUGGGAGGGAGAAGAUAGCAAUGGCGAUUGCUUUGUUGAUGGGUGGAGGAGAAGAGUGUGAAGAAAUGAGAAGGAGAGUGAAAGCGCUUAGCGAGGAGGCGAAGAAAGCAAUCAUGAUCGGUGGCUCUUCUUACAACAGUUUGAAAGACGUUAUUCAAGAGAUGAAGACAUUAAAACUUGAAAAGCUGAACUCAAAAGUUGAGGAGCCCGUGGCUUAGCGAGAAU
rnacentral:lncRNA from 1 species